rnacentral:lncRNA from 1 species
GUUUUUCAGACUGCCUUCACCCAGAUUUAUGACUCAUGACUCAAUCGAUCCUGUGGCCCCAUCCAGAGGCAGACUCAGUGCAUGAGGACCAUUUUUCCACAUCCCUGCUAUAGCAGCUGUGCAGGGAGAGCCCAGCUAUGAAAGGGGAAACUUUGGACUAACUUUCCCGUUCCUCAGUGGUGUUUGAAAUGUGUAUGUUUUCUUACAUUUGCAUCAGAUUUGGGGUCUGCCAGUUCUUUCUUCUUAUGCUCUAAUUUGAUAUUUCAUAUUAUUUCUUUUUGUUUUUAUUUUUUAGGACUGAAGACUUGAGAGGUCUCCUUCAACUGCAAUUUUAGCCCUGGCUUUAGGCAAUUUUCCAAAUGUAAAACUGCUUUCAAGAAAUCAGUGUGGUAUCACAGGGAGCUGGGGUCAGUAGAAAAAGAAGACACAAAGUCUCUCCUAGAACUCCAUAGGCCAAUCAAAUGACCUUUUAUAGAAACAACUGAAAUUCCUUUUUCAAAAGCACAGAAAUGCUAAUUGAAACCAAACCAAACAAACCCACCCCACAAGGACU